rnacentral:rRNA from 1 species
ACGUCUACAUUAGAUACCCCUGUAGUCCCAGCCGUAAACUAUGCGCGUUAGGUGUAUCGGUGACCACGAGUCACCGAGGUGCCGAAGGGAAACCGUGAAACGUGCCGCCUGGGAAGUACGGUCGCAAGGCUGAAACUUAAAGGAAUUGGCGGGGAGCACCACAACGGGUGGAGCCUGCGGUUUAAUUGGACUCAACGCCGGGAAGCUCACCGGAUAGGACAGCAGAAUGAUUGCCGGGCUGAAGACCCUGCAUGACUAGCUG